GCCAGGCGAGGUGGCGCACGCCUGUAAUCCCAGCAGCUCUGGAGGCUGAGGCAGGAGGAUCACAAGUUCAAAGCCAGCCUCAGCAGCUUAGACUCUGUCUCAA
rnacentral:sRNA from 1 species